rnacentral:rRNA from 1 species
UACGUAGGGGGCAAGCGUUGUCCGGAAUCAUUGGGCGUAAAGAGCGUGUAGGCGGCCAGAAAAGUCCGUUGUGAAACUGGAGGCUCAACCUUCAGAGGUCGACCGAAACCAUCUGGCUAGAGUCCGGGAGAGGAGAGUGGAAUUCCUGGUGUAGCGGUGAAAUGCGCAGAUAUCUGGAGGAACACCGGUGGCGAAGGCGGCAU